rnacentral:rRNA from 1 species
GACGAACGCUGGCGGCGUGCUUAACACAUGCAAGUCGAACGGAAAGGCCCUGCUUUUGUGGGGUGCUCGAGUGGCGAACGGGUGAGUAACACGUGAGUAACCUGCCCUUGACUUUGGGAUAACUUUAGGAAACUGGGGCUAAUACCGGAUAGGAGCUCCUGCUUCAUGGUGGGGGUUGGAAAGUUUCGGCGGUUGGGGAUUGACGCGCGGCUUAUCAGCUUGUUGGUGGGGUAGUGGCUUACCAAGGCUUUGACGGGUAGCCGGCCUGAGAGGGUGACCGGCCACACUGGGACUGAGAUACGGCCCAGACUCCUACGGGAGGCAGAAGUGGGGAAUAUUACACAAUGGGCGGAAGCCUGAUGCAGCAACGCCGCGUGCGGGAUGACGGCCUUCGAGUUUUAAACCGCUUUCGCCUAUGACGCAGCGUGAGUGACGGUAAUGGGUAAAGAAGCACCGGCUAACUACGUG